AUGGCACCUUGCAUGCUCAAGGCAAAGCAGGUGCCGAGCAAGUAUUGGGGGGAGGCCGUGCUCACGGCCGUCUUCAUCCUCAACCACUCCUUCACAAGGAGCGUCAGCGGCAAGACGCCUUACGAGGCGUGGUAUGGGAGGAAGCCCGAUGUACACUUCCUCCGCACCUUUGGCUGUGUUGGGCAUGUCAAGACGACGCGUACACAGCUGAAGAAGCUCGACGACAGGAGCACCCCAAUGGUGUUCAUGGGCUAUGAGACGGGCUCUAAGGCGUACAAGAUGUACGACCCCGUCUCAAAGUGUGUGCAUGUCUCGCGCGACGUCAUCUUCGACGAAGAUGCGCGAUGGACUUAG
rnacentral:rRNA from 1 species